rnacentral:pre_miRNA from 10 species
AUCUGGGGAUCUUGUUUAAAUGCAGAUUCUGAUUUGCGGUCUGGGAUAGAGCCUGAGAUUCUGCAUUUCUAACAAGUUCUCAGGUGAUUCUGCU